UACGUAGGGGGCAAGCGUUGUCCGGAAUCACUGGGCGUAAAGCGCAUGUAGGCGGGAUAUUAAGUCAGGUGUGAAAACUAUGGGCUCAACCUGUAGAUUGCACUUGAAACUGAGAUUCUUGAGGACAGGAGAGGGAAGUGGAAUUCCUAGUGUAGCGGUGAAAUGCGUAGAUAUUAGGAGGAACACCAGUGGCGAAGGCGACUUCCUGGACUGCACCUGACGCUGAGGCGCGAAAGCGUGGGUAGCGAACAGGAUUAGA
rnacentral:rRNA from 1 species